rnacentral:rRNA from 1 species
GGAUAACAUACCGAAAGGUAUGCUAAUACGGGAUAAUAUAUUUGAGAGGCAUCUCUUAAAUAUCAAAGGUGAGCCAGUACAGGAUGGACCCGCGUCUGAUUAGCUAGUUGGUAAGGUAACGGCUUACCAAGGCGACGAUCAGUAGCCGACCUGAGAGGGUGAUCGGCCACAUUGGAACUGAGACACGGUCCAAACUCCUACGGGAGGCAGCAGUGGGGAAUAUUGCACAAUGGGCGAAAGCCUGAUGCAGCAACGCCGCGUGAGUGAUGAAGGCCUUCGGGUCGUAAAACUCUGUCCUCAAGGAAGAUAAUGACGGUACUUGAGGAGGAAGCCCCGGCUAACUACGUGCCAGCAACCGCGGUAAUACGUAGGGGGCUAGCGUUAUCCGGAUUUACUGGGCGUAAAGGGUGCGUAGGCGGUCUUUCAAGUCAGGAGUGAAAGGCUACGGCUCAACCGUAGUAAGCUCUUGAAACUGGGAGACUUGAGUGCAGGAGAGGAGAGUGGAAUUCCUAGUGUAGCGGUGAAAUGCGUAGAUAUUAGGAGGAACACCAGUUGCGAAGGCGGCUCUCUGGACUGUAACUGACGCUGAGGCACGAAAGCGUGGGGAGCAAACAGGAUUAGAUACCCUGGUAGUCCACGCUGUAAACGAUGAGUACUAGGUGUCGGGGGUUACCCCCUUCGGUGCCGCAG